AGCUGACAGAAGGCAAGACUCUAGCGAUGAUUGGCGUGUACUUUGUGUGCCUACUUUUCAUCCAGUUCUUCUGUUUGCUCCUGAUAAAACAUUUCAUGAUAAGAUUUAGAUAUGUUCAUUUGAACCUGACAGAAAAUAAGACUUCUGAGGGUAGAAGCUGCUACAAUCACUAAAAUGUAUAAAUACCAAAAUAUACAAGAACUACUCCCAGUAGAAAUAAAUUUACUGGAAUGUAACUCGAUUGUGAGUCUAGGAGACCAAUGGACCCUGAAGCACUCUUCAGAUCUGCGAUUUAAAAAUGACCUCCAAUAAGACAUUGCAAAAAUGGGAAAGAAACAAUGGAAAAAAAAUGAUAAAACAAUGGAAAAAGAAAAUCCUUGCCUGGCAGUGAGCCUGAAGACAGCUGAUCAAAGGGGAAGAAGUCCAGCCACAGAUGGAAGAGAGAUGACCUGGACAGUGGGCUGCAGUGGGAAGGAAGCCAUGAUUUCAGGACAUGAAAAGUGGAGUCACACGAGGCUCACUGGGUGCUGGUGGGAGGCAGAGGGGUGUACCCUUAAACUGUAAUUGUUUGGUGUAAACAGACUGAAUUUGUGUCCUUCUCCAAAA
ensembl:processed_transcript